GCCUGCCUACGGGACGCAGCAGUCGGGAAUAUUGCGCAAUGGAGGAAACUCUGACGCAGUGACGCCGCGUGCAGGAAGAAGGUUUUCGGAUUGUAAACUGCUUUAGACAGGGAAGAAACAAGACAGUACCUGUAGAAUAAGCUCCGGCUAACUACGUGCCAGCAGCCGCGGUAAUACGUAGGGAGCAAGCGUUAUCCGGAUUUAUUGGGUGUAAAGGGUGCGCAGGCGGUCUGUUAAGUCAGCGGUCAAAGCCCGGGGCUCAACCCCGGCCCGCCGUUGAAACUGGCAGUCUCGAGUUGGAGAGA
rnacentral:rRNA from 1 species